rnacentral:rRNA from 1 species
ACGGCGAGUGAAGCGGCAACAGCUCAAAUUUGAAAUCUGGCCCUUUCAGGGCCCGAGUUGUAAUUUGGAGAAGAUGCUUCGGGUGUGGCCCCGGUCUAAGUUCCUUGGAACAGGACGUCACAGAGGGUGAGAAUCCCGUACGUGCCCGGUGGCCGCGCCCGUGUGAAGCUCUUUCGACGAGUCGAGUUGUUUGGGAAUGCAGCUCAAAAUGGGUGGUAAAUUUCAUCUAAAGCUAAAUAUUGGCCAGAGACCGAUAGCGCACAAGUAGAGUGAUCGAAAGAUGAAAAGCACUUUGGAAAGAGAGUUAAACAGUACGUGAAAUUGUUGAAAGGGAAGCGCUUGCAACCAGACUUGCGCGCGGCCGAUCAUCCGGUGUUCGCACCGGUGCACUCGACCGCGCGCAGGCCAGCAUCGGUUUGGGUGGCUGGAGAAAGGCCUCGGGAAUGUGGCUCCCUCCGGGGAGUGUUAUAGCCCGAGGCGCAAUGCAGCCUAUCCGGACCGAGGACCGCGCU